AACUGAACCGUCAUUUCGGUAUAUUUCGCCCGAUCUGCGUUUCCGUGUCCACGUGCACCGUACACAUCUGUGUUUUGUAUUGUAUAAGCGCGUUCGUGUGUGCUGCCCCUCUUCAAGGCGAUAGCCUCUGGAUGGCCUCUCGUUAGCGGACGGCACCGCACGCGAAUUUCGGGGCGCCCGAAAACGAUCCGCGCGUACUGUAAGUGUUUUACGGGAACAACACCCUCGCGUUUCUAUACAUAUAUAUUAUAUUAUUUUUCCGCUCGUUUUGUACGUAGCAACGAACGCCUAAGGGGGGAAAAACCGAGCCCCCCUUCCCCCUUAGCCCCCUACGCGUACUCAGUGCCGUUCGUUUAUAAAUGUGACCGUCGCGUCGAAAAAGUCGAAACUUUUGCCGGCGACGCCGACGACGCGUCUGCGGCAGCGAUCGCCGUCCACAAUGAUCCGGUGCCGACUGCAAGUGCUGUGGACGCUUUAUCUGAUCGUCUAUAACGGUAAGGUGUAUUUUUAUUUAUUUAUUUUUUUUUUUUAAUGCUUAUAUACUCAAAAGUCACGGGGGUCGGUUCGUAUACGUGAUUAAAGCCAGACGGCCCGGAUUAAGGUUGUGGGGGCCCGGGGACCCGUAUUAGUAAUGAGGCGACCUAUACUCUAUUAAAACGGAACAAAAAGGUUCUCAAAUAUUUGAUUCGACUC